rnacentral:rRNA from 1 species
AGUGAACGCUGGCGGCAGGCCUAACACAUGCAAGUCGAACGGCAGCACAAGAGAGCUUGCUCUCUGGGUGGCGAGUGGCGGACGGGUGAGGAAUGCAUCGGAAUCUGCCCAUUUGUGGGGGAUAACCUCGGGAAACCGGGACUAAUACCGCAUACGACCUACGGGUGAAAGCAGGGGAUCUUCGGACCUUGUGCAGAUGGAUGAGCCGAUGCCGGAUUAGCUAGUUGGAGGGGUAAAGGCCCACCAAGGCGACGAUCCGUAGCUGGUCUGAGAGGAUGAUCAGCCACACUGGGACUGAGACACGGCCCAGACUCCUACGGGAGGCAGCAGUGGGGAAUAUUGGACAAUGGGCGCAAGCCUGAUCCAGCCAUGCCGCGUGUGUGAAGAAGGCCUUCGGGUUGUAAAGCACUUUUGUUGGGAAAGAAAAGCAGCCGGUUAAUACCCGGUUGUCAUGACGGUACCCAAAGAAUAAGCACCGGCUAACUUCGUG